UGCUCUGGUGGCUUAGUGGUUAGGUUAUCCUCCUUGGAUGUGGGAGGUGACAGGUUAAAAUCCUGGCCGAGUCA